GAAGAUAAAAGUUCCGAAUAAGAAACUUUGCGUUUUACAAUCAUAUUUUAUCCGGCACAUAACUAUCCGACACAUAAAGAAGAUUGUGGUGGCAACACCAAAUUCGUAUGUUCCGUUUUUUUGUUACGAACAAAUAAAGUUACAAAAUUCUAUAGAAAAACAUAGAACCUUAACCUUUUUAUUGGUCAUUUAAUAUUACUUGUAAUGAAACGGGCUGUCAUUUUCACAUGGUAUUUUUGUUUGUUAGGUUAUUGAGUAUUUUAGUACAUAUUUUAGUUCGGUGCCUUCGGCUUGACCUUUCCGUUGUUUUUGUGAUUAGAGGUGGAUUCUUUAACUUAAAAAAAUGUCUCCGCAAAAACGUGAAAGAAGCGUCAAUUUCAGCCGGGAAGAAGUUGAGCUUCUAACUUCGCUUGUUGCUGAUCAUAAAAAUAUAUUAGAAAAUAAAAAAGUGACUCAGUCACCUGGCAGGAGAAAGAGCAGUGCUGGAAGACGUUAGAGGCGCUGUUUAAUAGCACAAGUGGGGAAAACUUUCGCAGCGCUAAAACUUUGAAAGCUAAAUACGAAGGCUUAAAGAGGGCUACAAGAAAAAAGUCUGCCUUGAUACAUGCUGAAACGUAACGUAAAGGAGGUGGCCCUAGUGCUGCUACUCCUCUUACCCCUAUCGAGGAAAAAGUCAAAGACAUGAUAUUGUUGUCUGUCGAAGGAAUUGAAAGUCAAUUUGACUCCGAUCGCAUUGAAAGAGAAUCUAUCCAUUCAGUUGAGGCAGACGUUUGUACACAGAAGGAAGAUUCUAAUUGAGUUGUUGCUACUCCGAAGAUGAAAAGGCCAUUCGAAAAAGUUGCUGAUUCAAAAUUAGAGAUUGCGGAUCUGCAAAAGAAGAUUCUGGAGGUAGAGCUUCUAAAUAAGAGAAAGCAAUGGGCAUUUGAAGAGGAAGAAAGAGAGCAUAAAAGAUAAUUAUGGGCCAUAGAAAAAAAUAUGUUGUUAAAUAAAUUAGAAAAAUAAUCGAUUUUGUGCCUGGAG